rnacentral:rRNA from 1 species
AACGAACGCUGGCGGCAGGCCUAACACAUGCAAGUCGAGCGAGGACUUCGGUCCUAGCGGCGGACGGGUGAGUAACGCGUGGGAACGUGCCCUUUGCUUCGGAAUAGCCCUGGGAAACUGGGCGUAAUACCGGAUGAGCCCUUUGGGGGAAAGAUUUAUCGGCGAAGGAUCGGCCCGCGUUGGAUUAGGUAGUUGGUGGGGUAAUGGCCUACCAAGCCGACGAUCCAUAGCUGGUUUGAGAGGAUGAUCAGCAACACUGGGACUGAGACACAGCCCAGACUCCGACGGGAGGCAGCAGUGGGGGAUCUUAGGCGAUGGGGGAAACCCUAAUCUAGCCAUGCCGCGUGAGCGAUGAAGGCCUUAGGGUAGUAAAGCUCUUUCAGCUGGGAAGAUAAUGACGGUACCAGCAGAAGAAGCCCCGGCUAACUCCGUG